GGAGAACCGAGGUGACACGGGAGGGUGAGAAGAUCCAGGGUUGUAAGCGGCGCUUUCGGCUCCGGGUUGAGUCCAGAUGGAGUGGCUGGAGACGGGGCUGCCUUGCUGGGAAGAGCCGCUGCUCUGGAGCAGGUCCAGCCGCCGCUUCGAGACCCCAAGCAAGAAGUCCAGGUCCCUCCGGAGGAGAGAUUUUAGAUCCCGCCUGGAUUUAGCUUCUCCCACCGGGUUCCAUCCAUCACCUCCCGCCCCCCCCCCCCCCUCCACGAUGGGGCUGGGCUGCUUAAAACCCUCGGUCAGUCUCCUCCCCGCCUUUCUCCCCCCCCCUCCGCCCCAUCCAACAACACCUCCGGGGGAGGCAGGGGGAGAUGCGGCCGGGGAUGCGGGAGGAGGCGGCGGCCGGGCCGGGAGCCCACCUCGGGGCGGAGGAGAUAAGGAGAUCAUGGAGGGAUCCUAGAAAACCAUCUCACACCCGGAGAAGGUCUGGAUGGGGCGGGGGGAAUUAUGGCCAGAGAAAUAACUCUUGGGACUGAUUUAGAUUUAACUAGCAGAUUCCCCAGGCUGAACCCCUCCGCUGGGCUGAAUUUAGCAGCAGAAGAGAUAACCGGGAGAUAAGGACUGAUACCCGGGAGGACAGAGGGAGACCGGCAGGCAGCCGAGGGAAGGGGGAGAAGCCGGAGGCAGCGUCGGGAAGGGCUGCGUAUCCAGAUGUGCAGGGUUUGGGACACGCAUCUCCCUCUCCACGCCUUGCAAAAUCUUUGGCGAUUUUCUUUACCAAAGCAGCGUUUUGCUGAAGCUUCGUUGAAUUCCUACUGAAUAUCAACUCUUUCCUUAAAAAACAACCACAAAUCCAAUUAAAACCGAUUAAAACAGCGCGAAAGACUCUACCAGGGGACGAUUUCAAGGACCUGCCUCGGUUUUGCAUCUUCCAGGAAAAAAAAAACACCACACACACACACACAAAAAAAAAUAAAUCCCGGUUUUGCGUGUGCGUGGCCGGAUCCAGCCUCUUUCAGCGGGGAAAUAUCGGUCCUUAGUGCCGAGCAUCGCGUCGCGGGGCGGGGGGUUCGCACCCCGAAAAAGCAACGCCGUGAGGAGCUGAGCCCCAGCCUGGUGCAAACUAACAGCCGGGAAGGAGAGGAUGCAUUUCGGACACUUUUUAUCCCGAAAAAAAAAAAAGCAGAGGAUGGGACACAGCAGAGUGCAGCGACAAGAAAAAAAAUCCCUGCUCUGCUCUCGGAGGAGCCUUUUUUCCCCCCGUGCGAUUACGGAGUCUGCUCGCCCGCAAAGCGAAGCGGUUAACGAAAUCUGGCUGAAAAUAACCCUGCAGAACAAACCUCGAACUUUCCGCUCUCCUUUCCAGCCCCUUCUUCCCCCCCAAGGAGGAAAUAAAUCGAUACGAUGCCUGGUU